rnacentral:rRNA from 1 species
UACGGAGGGGGCUAGCGUUGUUCGGAAUUACUGGGCGUAAAGCGCGUGUAGGCGGUUUUCCAAGUUGGGUGUGAAAGCCUUGGGCUUAACCCAAGAAAUGCACUCAGUACUGGAAGACUAGAGGACCGGAGAGGAUAGUGGAAUUCCCAGUGUAGUGGUGAAAUACGUAGAGAUUGGGAAGAACACCAGUGGCGAAGGCGGCUAUCUGGACGGUUUCUGACGCUAAGACGCGAAAGCGUGGGGAGCAAACAGG